rnacentral:rRNA from 1 species
GACGUAGGGUGCAAGCGUUGUCCGGAUUUACUGGGCGUAAAGAGCGCGUAGGCGGUUCGUUAAGUGUAGAGUGAAAUCUCUGGGCUCACCCCAGAAACUGCUCUGCAUACUGGCGAACUGGAGUGUGGCAGAGGGGGGUGGAAUUCCGCGUGUAGCAGUGAAAUGCGUAGAGAUGCGGAGGAACACCGAUGGCGAAGGCAGCCCCCUGGGCUAACACUGACGCUCAGGCACGAAAGCGUGGGGAGCAAACAGG